GGGAGAUGCUAAGAGUCCAAAUAAGGAUUCAGCCUCCAUUUGCAUUUGUUUUGAUUCUUUAGCCUUAAAAUAUUCUGUAUUCUUAUUCAUAGUUAAACUCGAUUUUUAAAAAAAGUUCUGGACCCGCCCGAGACUGUUUUACAACAUCACAUUGCCAGAUUUACACCAAAGCUCUAGAAAGAGUUGAUCCAAAGUGUCUUUCAGGAUAAGAAGGAGUUACUGUGAGUCUUGGAAUACAGUGAAUCACCACAAUUACUUGCUUCCAGAAUUAUUGUAUUGUAUUUAUAAGAAAAAUGUGCAACAUGGAGCUUGGAUUAGAAUUUGAACUCACCUUCUAGAAAUCAUAAAUAAAGUUUACAUCAACUUACUCUUACACUUCUAUUUAAAAAUAAAAACUUCAUUAGGUCUUUGGAUAAAAUUAAACAAGUGAAAAACCUUCUUUCCCCUCUUUCCCUGAAGUACACUUGCCAGGCUCUUUCUGUACAGCUGCAGCUUAGCUUCAACAACAGUAGGAGAUGUGAAGGUUGAUACCUUGUGUGCAAGUUCUAGAACUCACAGGGCUUUCAGAGAGCUUAUCCUUUUCCCUUAGCAGUCCAAAUGACUUUCCCCCAAGAAGUUUUAAAUGACCCAACAUUUUGUAUAGUUUGUCAGCAUAUUGAUGUUUUCUCUUUAUGAGAAAUGCCUUCCAUUUUAUGCUUCUGUGGCAUAGACCCCUAGUUUUGUGGUCAACUCUCUUUGUCUUUUUUUUACUUUUUAAGGCUUCUCUGCCUUUCUCUUAGACAUAAAUGUUCUUCAAAUUUCUAUCAUAAGAUCCUUUCUCUACUCACAACCAUUUCCCUGAAAAACAUCACUUAUUGCUUUGGCUUCCUUUACCAUCUGCAUUAAUUGUUCUCAUCUUAGAGAUUGAAGGCAAAUCGUGUAUUGGUUGAUCAAAUAGAAGUGGAUUUUUUUAAAAAAAUAAGAAAACAUUAAACUGUAUGUUUAUCAUUAAAUAUAUAUCUUGCCCUAAGCCUAACUCCUAGCUCUAAAAUGUUGCUUAUUGAAAGCAUCCAUUGGGAUAUCUUGUAGACAUCCAAAAUUCAGUACACCCAGAAUUAAUGUCAUUCGACACCUUCGUGCAUCUUCAUCCAUUCUGCUGUCCAGACAUAGUAAGUUCUCCUGGGUCCUGGAUUUCCUUUCUCAUUGAAUAGUCCUACUAUCAGGUGUCAAGCUGCAAGCCUCUGAAUCAUCCUUGAAACAUUUCUGAAUUACCAAAUCCUAUUGGUACAACCCCUGAUUUUCUCUCAUCUUUCUACCUCUCUUUCUCUCCUGCCAUUAACCCAGCAGUUUUCCUUAAUUAUUGCAGCAGACCUCCUGGUCUCUCUGGUGUUGGUCCUACAUCCCUACAAUGCACUCUAUACAUACUGCCCCAGAAUAAUUUGUAAAGUAUAAAUCCUAUCAUAUUAUUCCUUAAAGCCUUUUAGGAGAAUCUAAAAAGUAUAGUGUCUUAGUCCAUUUUCUGUUUUAACAAAGUACCUGAAACCAAGUAAUUUAUAAGGAAAGGAUAUAUAUAUAUCCGUGUGUGUGUGUGUGUAUAUAUAUAAUUUUUUUUUAAUAGUUCCAAAGGUAAGGAAUUUCAAGAACAUGGUACAAGCAUCUGCUCAAGGGCCUUCUUCCUCUAUUAUAACAGCUGACUUUAUCACAUGGUAAGACAGAGCAAGUAUGCUAGUUCUAGUCUUUCUCUGAAUAAAACCACUAAUGCCAUCGAGGGGGACCAGCCCUAAUGACCUCAUCUAAUCAUAAGUCCUUCUCAAAGGCCCUCCCUCCAAAUAACAUUAACUAUGAAUUUGGGGGUGGUUUCAAACACGUGAAAUUUUAAACCAUAGUGUGUAGCUUACAUCUCCCCAUCUGCCAGAACUUGUGUAAAUUUGUGGAAAACAUCAUACUUGGGCUGGGGAUGUGGCUUAAGCGCUCGCCUGGCAUGCGCGGAGUGCUGGGUUCAAUCCUCAGCACCACAUAAAAAUAAAGAUGUUGUGUCCACUGAAAACUGAAAAAUAAAUUUUAAAAAAUCAUACAAAUGCUUUGUUCAUCUGAACAGUAUUUCCCUAACUCAACCAGUUAAUCACUUUCUUAGUCUUCAGGUCUCAGUUUCCCUGGAAAGUCUGUAGCCUCUCUGUUACAGUGCUCUGCUACACACUCAUCAGCCUUCUUUUAUUACUAGUACUUGCCAGCAUUGUGUAAUUGCCUAUUUGUCUUCAUGGACUGAUAACCAUGUUCUGUUUCACUUCCCCAGUGCCUAGCACAAAGCCUGGCAAAUAGUUAGCAUUUAUUCUUUUUGAGUAAAGCAAGGGUGUGGAAUGUUUGGACAUAAAUUGUAUAAAAAAGAAAUUUAGUUGGGCUGGGGAUGUGGCUCAAGUGGUAGCGCGCUCGCCUGGCAUGCGUGCGGCCCGGGUUCGAUCCUCAGCACCACAUACAAACAAAGAUGUUGUGUCCGCCGAAAACUAAAAAAUAAAUAUUAAAAUUUUCUCUCUCUCUCUUAAAAAAGAAAGAAAAAGAAAUUUAGUAAUUCAGAGGUGUUUGUGAUAGCAGGGCAGCUAGAAAUGAGUAGUUCUAGAAUACAGAUCCCCAGUUUUCUUUUCACUUUGUUCAUGAUGCCAUAAAAUAAAACCUUAGCUAAAGUGUCCUUGAUCCCUAAUGGUUGUUGUAUUUGUUUUUUUGUCAUAUGAUUUAUUUGUUUCUUUUGGUUGCUGUGCUGGUAUCACAUGGUAAGACAGAGCUGGG
rnacentral:lncRNA from 1 species